UUGUAAAUACGUCCGCGCGCAUUCGUGGUCAUACCGGAACUCUCCCGGCUUACUUCACUUAGGUAGACUAGAGUACAGGAGGCGGAACGUAUACGGAGAAAUGCCGAAUUUUUGGUUUAAGAAUCGUGUACCGGUAAGCUUUAAAGAUUUACCAUAAGCGUUGCUCUAGUCACGCGACCGAAGUGAAAUUGACAAUUGGUCGUACAAGUGAAGUGAGCUAAGAAUGGUUUGAAAAAGAAGCGAGAACGACCGAACGUCCAAGGAGAGAGAAAGGAAGAGAACGAAAUCGCGAUGAGAAAAACCGCUAGUACACUUGAGAAAAUUGAAAAUUUUGAGGGAGGCGACAGCGAGAUGUAUGAGCUGCCAACGUAUCGAGAUUACUUCAGAUAUCUCGGAACAUUUCAACGAGUCUUAUUCUACACAGUGAAGGUGACAUCUGCCACAAAACUAUCAUUAACAAUCAAGGACAAUGGAAUUAUCCCUCUGAAUGACGUAUGACCAAAUGAUCAAACUGAUGGCACAGGGUCGACAUUGAUUCUUAUCUUCUACAAUUCUUUAAAUGUCAAAACUUAUAGACAUGCAAGGGUAUCUGCUGAAGUGCACGUACUAUGGAACCCUGGCUGACUUGAUUGCGUACUGCAAGCCAAGAACGAAGCAAAUAUUUUACUAGAAAUUCAGUAUUUGCAUGAAGGAGCUAAAGAAUGGAAAGCAAUGGAAAGAAGUUAUCACGGUUGACCCGACACUCAAAUGGGAGAAAUUAUAAUUUAAUUAUUAUCAAUGUCUGCACGUUCUCUAAACACAAUGUGUAUUAUACAAAAGUGUUUAUUAUUAUGCAUUAAGGUAGAACCUGGUGUUCAGGAUAGUUUCAUAUAAAUGUUUGUAAUAAAGAACUCACAUCUCUAA